UUUGGAGGGCAAGUCUGGUGCCAGCAGCCGCGGUAAUUCCAGCUCCAAUAGCGUAUAUUAAAGUUGUUGCAGUUAAAAAGCUCGUAGUUGAAUUUCGGGAUCAGUAGGUUGGUCGUGCCACUGGUAUGUACUGGCCUUACUGAUUCCUCCUUCUUGAGGAACUGUAAUGUCAUUAAUUUGGUGUUGCGGGAAAACAGGACUGUUACUUUGAAAAAAUUAGAGUG
rnacentral:rRNA from 1 species